GCUAUACAUGCAAGUCGAACGCUUCUUUUUCCACCGGAGCUUGCUCCACCGGAAAAAGAGGAGUGGCGAACGGGUGAGUAACACGUGGGUAACCUGCCCAUCAGAAGGGGAUAACACUUGGAAACAGGUGCUAAUACCGUAUAACAAUCGAAACCGCAUGGUUUUGAUUUGAAAGGCGCUUUCGGGUGUCGCUGAUGGAUGGACCCGCGGUGCAUUAGCUAGUUGGUGAGGUAACGGCUCACCAAGGCCACGAUGCAUAGCCGACCUGAGAGGGUGAUCGGCCACAUUGGGACUGAGACACGGCCCAAACUCCUACGGGAGGCAGCAGUAGGGAAUCUUCGGCAAUGGACGAAAGUCUGACCGAGCAACGCCGCGUGAGUGAAGAAGGUUUUCGGAUCGUAAAACUCUGUUGUUAGAGAAGAACAAGGAUGAGAGUAACUGUUCAUCCCUUGACGGUAUCUAACCAGAAAGCCACGGCUAACUACGUGCCAGCAGCCGCGGUAAUACGUAGGUGGCAAGCGUUGUCCGGAUUUAUUGGGCGUAAAGCGAGCGCAGGCGGUUUCUUAAGUCUGAUGUGAAAGCCCCCGGCUCAACCGGGGAGGGUCAUUGGAAACUGGGAGACUUGAGUGCAGAAGAGGAGAGUGGAAAUUCCAUGUGUAGCGGUGAAAUGCGUAGAUAUAUGGGAGGAACACCAGUGGCGAAGGCGGCUCUCUGGUCUGUAACUGACGCUGAGGCUCGAAAGCGUGGGGGAGCAAACAGGAUUAGAUACCUUGGUAGUCCACGCCGUAAACGAUGAGUGCUAAGUGUUGGAGGGUUUCCGCCCUUCAGUGCUGCAGCUAACG
rnacentral:rRNA from 1 species